GAUGAACGCUGGCGGCGUGCUUAACACAUGCAAGUCGAACGAUGAAGCCCAGCUUGCUGGGUGUCUUAGGGGCGAACGGGUGAGUAACACGUGAGUAACCUGCCCUUAACUCUUGGAUAAGCGUGGGAAACUGGGUCUAAUACCGGAUAGGAGCGUCCACCGCAUGGUGGGUGUUGGAGAGAUUUCUCGGUUUUGGCUGGACUCGCGGCCUAUCAGCUUGUUGGUGAGGUAAGGGCUCACCAAGGCGACGACGGGUAGCCGUCCUUAGAGGGUGACCAGCCACACUGGGACUGCGACACGGACCAGACUCCAACGGGAGGCAGCAGUGGGGAAUAUUGUACAAUGGGAGCAAGCCUGAUGAAGCGACGCCGCGUGAGGGAUGACGGCCUUCGGGUUGUAAACAUCUUUCAGUAAGGAAGACGCGAUAGUGACGGUACCUGCAGAAGAAGCACCGGCUAACUACGUG
rnacentral:rRNA from 1 species